rnacentral:lncRNA from 1 species
UUCAGGGUGUAGAUGGUGUUAGGUUAAUAUAUAUAUUGAUCCUAUGUUCCUGAUAACAAAAGAACAACAAGAUCAAUAAAACAAAAUACAGAAAUAGAAUUAGAGGUUUUACCUCCAGCCAUUGUUGCAGUGUUGUGAGUGCACUGCCUUUGAUUCUUCCAAGCUCUUGCUCUCUCAAUAUAAAUGGUGUAUUUCUUUUGAGAUGAGAGAAAGCUUU